rnacentral:rRNA from 1 species
GGAAAAAGGGGGGGCGGCUACACAUGCAAGUCGAGCGGAAACGAGUUAACUGAACCUUCGGGGAACGUUAACGGCGUCGAGCGGCGGACGGGUGAGUAAUGCCUGGGAAAUUGCCCUGAUGUGGGGGAUAACCAUUGGAAACGAUGGCUAAUACCGCAUGAUAGCUUCGGCUCAAAGAGGGGGACCUUCGGGCCUCUCGCGUCAGGAUAUGCCCAGGUGGGAUUAGCUAGUUGGUGAGGUAAUGGCUCACCAAGGCGACGAUCCCUAGCUGGUCUGAGAGGAUGAUCAGCCACACUGGAACUGAGACACGGUCCAGACUCCUACGGGAGGCAGCAGUGGGGAAUAUUGCACAAUGGGCGCAAGCCUGAUGCAGCCAUGCCGCGUGUAUGAAGAAGGCCUUCGGGUUGUAAAGUACUUUCAGCAGUGAGGAAGGUGGGUAUGUUAAUAGCAUAUUCAUUUGACGUUAGCUGCAGAAGAAGCACCGGCUAACUCCGUGCCAGCAGCCGCGGUAAUACGGAGGGUGCGAGCGUUAAUCGGAAUUACUGGGCGUAAAGCGCAUGCAGGUGGUUUGUUAAGUCAGAUGUGAAAGCCCGGGGCUCAACCUCGGAAUUGCAUUUGAAACUGGCAAACUAGAGUACUGUAGAGGGGGGUAGAAUUUCAGGUGUAGCGGUGAAAUGCGUAGAGGUCUGAAGGAAUACCGGUGGCGAAGGCGGCCCCCUGGACAGAUACUGACACUCAGAUGCGAAAGCGUGGGGAGCAAACAGGAUUAGAUACCCUGGUAGUCCACGCCGUAAACGAUGUCUACUUGGAGGUUGUGGCCUUGAGCCGUGGCUUUCGGAGCUAACGCGUUAAGUAGACCGCCUGGGGAGUACGGUCGCAAGAUUAAAACUCAAAUGAAUUGACGGGGGCCCGCACAAGCGGUGGAGCAUGUGGUUUAAUUCGAUGCAACGCGAAAGAACCUUACCUACUCUUGACAUCUACAGAAGCCAGCGGAGACGCAGGUGUGCCUUCGGGAACUGUAAGACAGGUGCUGCAUGGCUGUCGUCAGCUCGUGUUGUGGAAUGUUGGGGUUAAGUCCCGCAA